UGCUGUGGCAGGGUUAUGCAAAUUGGGGAAGAUUGAUGACUCAAGAGAUGUUAUAAAUUACUUCUCACUAAAAGGCUUUACUCCCGAUGAGUUUACCUACUGCACCUUGGUCCAUGGCAUGUCAUUGGUUGUUAAAGUGAAUGAAGCUUUCAAUUUGCACGAUGAGAUGCUAAUAAAGGAUCUUGUUCCAAACAUUGCAGUAUACAAUGCUCUAAUAAAUGGCCUUUGUAAAGCAGGGAACAUUGAACGAGCAUCGAGACUUUUCAAUACGCUUCAUUCGAAAGGGUUAGCUCCGAAUGUUAUAACUUAUAACACUCUGAUAGAUGGAUACUAUAAGAUUGCUAAAACUAGUGAAGCCGUGCAACUGCUGAAGAGAAUGACAGAAGAAGAAAACGUUCCGUCAUAACUUCUUCAAUUCUGAUUAGUGGUCUGCAUAAGCAAUUUGAUAUUCAAGAACAAAUGAAGCUUUUAAGCUGGACGACAGAAGGAAGGAUGGUUUAGACGAGAUUCUUGUGAGACAGAGCAAAAAGAGAAGUGGAUAUUCCUUCAUUCAGCAUGCGAUAACAAUUCAUCAAUUUCCAAACAGCUGAAAGGACAAUGACCUUUGCAUGCUGACCAGUCAUGGUCUCUAUUUGAAGACUAAGUUGACACAUGUUUCUACAACUGAACUAUUCUUCUUUAGCUAAUUGCAAUGCCAAAAAUUUGUAGCUGAUUAAACCACUUCCCGGUAGAGAUGUUGUCAGGAUACAAUAUCGUAUGGUGUGUCGUGGUUUCUUGAUUUUGGGACAGACGUAUACAGUAAGAUUUUGUGGAGUUCGGGGGGGGGUUAAGUUUAGAAGAUGAAGGAGAGGAAGUGGGAAUUUCUCAGGCAUGCUAUCCCCGGAAUGAGCCCCUAUAUGAGCUGAUUGCAUGAAUUUGAGUUAAAGACCCAACAAAGAAAUAUAAUAAACUUCUCAAACUCAUUUAAUUUUUCUUAAAGCGGGAUGAUAGUCAAUAUCUUUAGUUUCUAUGACCAAAUCAUUGACAAUAAGCUGGUGACCGUGAUUUCUUAUAAUCAGGCAAGACAAGAUCUAUUAAAAGUUUAAAACAUCUGGAAGACUAUUAAACUUCAGCUCCAUUUAGUGAGAUCAAGUCACAAGUUGUUUAUUUUAUGCAUGAAAUUUGAUCCCGGCUAAGGAUUAUGUUGUGUGUGGAUUAUCAUCAUCUAGUCUGUUCUUGGCCCUUUUUUCUGCAAUUUACUGAAUAUUUUGGUUCUUGCUUAACUUUCUGUCUUUUCUGAAUGAUGCUUUCUCUUCGCGUGCCUGUUGUCAUAUAACUACCACAGAUUCACUUCUAAGUAAGCGGAAGAUCAGAAAACAAUUUAUAAACGUUUAUUUGAAGUGUUUCUUUUGCGUGGGUGGGUGGGGUGGGAGAAGCUGAACUUCCCAUGGUGUUCAUUUGGGAUUUUCCCAUAGAUUUGUUAUGAUUGAAUGCUGGGAUUGUCGGUGAGGGAAAAUGUCAGGAGAUGGACUUCAAGAUAUGUGCUACAAUUUCAUUGCCUUCGGCAGUCAACUGUUCAUCAGUGCAAGUCUAGAGACAUGUUCUAUAGCUUGUAAACUCUAUUGUACCGAGUCUCAACGCAAGAUAUCAUGUCAUGAAAGGCGAAUAUAUUUCUUGGUUCUCCUCUGCUAUUAAAAGCAUUGGCUGAUUAAUGGGAUGAACAGGUUGGCACAAGGGCAAGCUCUGAUUAUCUGAUCAUGAAAUUGAACCAUGUAAAACGUUAUAUCAACUCAAUAUGGGCAAGACCAUUUUUUGAUACGCAGAGCUUCGAGAGCACAGUGCAAGGUUAUUUAACCAGGUUAGUACAGCACCCAAGGGUGUGGCCUAGUUGUCAAUGAAGUGGUUGAGAGCCAUGAGCUCUCGGGUUCAAAUCCCCAGCGGAGAGAAACACACUAGGUGAUUUCUUCCUAUCCGUUUUAGCCUUGGUGGACAGUGUUACCUGGUUCAUAUUGCUGGUGGGAGCUGACAGGUAUUCCAUGGAAUUAGUCAAGGUGCACGAAAGCUUUGCCCGAACUCCAUGGUCAUAAGAAUGAACAGGUAACAAGGUGAAUGUGAGGUGCAGAAGGAGCAUUUUCCCAAGGUAUUGCUCCGUCACCGAUGUAUAACUAGCUCAACUUGACUAAAAGAGUUCGGUAAUUUUUACCAUGCGCCUUAAUAAUUGUUGGCACACAGGGUUUGUAACAUUCAUUAGUUCCCAACUGUGGCAUGAUUCAGUUCAUUGAACUGCACACAUAUUAAUAAAAAUUGACAAAUGUUAAUGA